rnacentral:rRNA from 1 species
UACGUAGGGGGCAAGCGUUGUCCGGAUUUAUUGGGCGUAAAGAGCGUGUAGGCGGCCAGGUAGGUCAGCUGUGAAAACUCGAGGCUCAACCGGGGAAGUGCAUCCGAAACUACAUAGCUAGAGGACGGUAGAGGAAGGUGGAAUUCCUAGUGUAGAGGUGAAAUUCGUAGAUAUUAGGAGGAAUACCGGCGGCGAAGGCGGCCUUCUGGGCCGUUCCUGACACUGAGACGCGAAAGCGUGGGGAGCAAACAGG